rnacentral:rRNA from 1 species
UACGUAGGGUGCAAGCGUUGUCCGGAAUUAUUGGGCGUAAAGAGCUCGUAGGCGGUCUGUCGCGUCGGACGUGAAAAUCAGGGCUCAACCCUGGACCUGCGUUCGAUACGGGCAGACUAGAGUUCGGUAGGGGAGACGUGGAAUUCCUGGUGUAGCGGUGAAAUGCGCAGAUAUCAGGAGGAACACCGGUGGCGAAGGCGGGUCUCUGGGCCGAAACUGACGCUGAGGAGCGAAAGCGUGGGGAGCAAACAGG